rnacentral:rRNA from 1 species
GACGAACGCUGGCGGCGUGCUUAACACAUGCAAGUCGAACGGAAAGGCCCUGCUUUUGUGGGGUGCUCGAGUGGCGAACGGGUGAGUAACACGUGAGUAACCUGCCCUUGACUUUGGGAUAACUUCAGGAAACUGGGGCUAAUACCGGAUAGGAGCUCCUGCUGCGUGUGGGGGGUUGGAAAGUUUGGGCGGUUGGGGAUGGACUCGCGGCUUAUCAGCUUGUUGGUGGGGUAGUGGCUUACCAAGGCUUUGACGGGUAGCCGGCCUGAGAGGGUGACCGGGCACAGUGGGACUGAGAUACGGCCCAGACUCCUACGGGAGGCAGCAGUGGGGAAUAUUGCACAAUGGGCGGAAGCCUGAUGCAGCAACGCCGCGUGCGGGAUGACGGCCUUCGGGUUGGAAACCGCUUUCGCCUGUGACGAAGCGUGAGUGACGGUAAUGGGUAAAGAAGCACCGGCUAACUACGUG